rnacentral:rRNA from 2 species
CUCUCUUUGUUAUUUAUGUAGAUAAAGAGUUGGGCCUGCUCGGUGAAAUUUUUUAACAGCUGCGGUAUUUUAACUGUACUAAGGUAGCAUAAUAAUUUGCCUUAUAAUUUGAGGCUAGAAUGAAUGGUUUGACGAAGGUUAAUCUGUCUCAACUUUAUUUUUUAGAAAUUAAUUUUCAUAGUGAAAAAGCUUGAAUUUUUUAAUGGGACGAGAAGACCCUAUUGAGCUUAUAAUUUUAUUGAUAUUUUUAUUAUUAUUUAUAAUUAUAUUAUAUAAAUUUUAAUUGGGGUGAUUAAGGAAUAAUUAGUUAAAAAAUAACUUCCUUAAGUGUAAUAUAUUGUUGAAUUAAGUAACCGAUUAAUUAAUAUUUUUUAUAUUAGUAUUGCUUAUAAUAUAGUUACCAUAGGGAUAACAGCGUAAUUUACUUAGAGAGCUCUUAUUGAAAAGUAAGAUUGCGACCUCGAUGUUGGAUUAAAGUAACCUUAAGGUGUAGAAGCUUUAUAAGGUAAAUCUGUUCGAUUUUUAAAACUUU